UUUAACUGAAGAGUUUGAUCAUGGCUCAGAUUGAACGCUGGCGGCAGGCUUAACACAUGCAAGUCGAGCGGGGGAAGGUAGCUUGCUACUGGACCUAGCGGCGGACGGGUGAGUAAUGCUUAGGAAUCUGCCUAUUAGUGGGGGACAACAUCUCGAAAGGGAUGCUAAUACCGCAUACGUCCUACGGGAGAAAGCAGGGGAUCUUCGGACCUUGCGCUAAUAGAUGAGCCUAAGUCGGAUUAGCUAGUUGGUGGGGUAAAGGCCUACCAAGGCGACGAUCUGUAGCGGGUCUGAGAGGAUGAUCCGCCACACUGGGACUGAGACACGGCCCAGACUCCUACGGGAGGCAGCAGUGGGGAAUAUUGGACAAUGGGGGGAACCCUGAUCCAGCCAUGCCGCGUGUGUGAAGAAGGCCUUAUGGUUGUAAAGCACUUUAAGCGAGGAGGAGGCUACUUUAGUUAAUACCUAGAGAUAGUGGACGUUACUCGCAGAAUAAGCACCGGCUAACUCUGUGCCAGCAGCCGCGGUAAUACAGAGGGUGCGAGCGUUAAUCGGAUUUACUGGGCGUAAAGCGUGCGUAGGCGGCUUAUUAAGUCGGAUGUGAAAUCCCCGAGCUUAACUUGGGAAUUGCAUUCGAUACUGGUGAGCUAGAGUAUGGGAGAGGAUGGUAGAAUUCCAGGUGUAGCGGUGAAAUGCGUAGAGAUCUGGAGGAAUACCGAUGGCGAAGGCAGCCAUCUGGCCUAAUACUGACGCUGAGGUACGAAAGCAUGGGGAGCAAACAGGAUUAGAUACCCUGGUAGUCCAUGCCGUAAACGAUGUCUACUAGCCGUUGGGGCCUUUGAGGCUUUAGUGGCGCAGCUAACGCGAUAAGUAGACCGCCUGGGGAGUACGGUCGCAAGACUAAAACUCAAAUGAAUUGACGGGGGCCCGCACAAGCGGUGGAGCAUGUGGUUUAAUUCGAUGCAACGCGAAGAACCUGGCCUUGACAUACUAGAAACUUUCCAGAGAUGGAUUGGUGCCUUCGGGAAUCUAGAUACAGGUGCUGCAUGGCUGUCGUCAGCUCGUGUCGUGAGAUGUUGG
rnacentral:rRNA from 1 species